rnacentral:lncRNA from 1 species
CCAGCUGCAUGGAGAAGAGCGCGUAGUCUUCGAGCGGCGUGACCACGGACCUCACUCCACUGGUUGGCCGAUUCCCUCGCAAGUCAAGGUGAUUGUUUUGGUUGUCUUGGACUUGAGACUGGAUCCUGCUCAAGCUCUCACGGACUUGUUCCUGCAGGAAAGUUGGGAAGACUGGACGCCAAAAGGAGCUGAGAGGCCUGUCCUCUCCGGCGGCACGUACCACGAAGAAGCAAACGGCGAUGGAGAAAACGCUUUUGAGUCGCUGACCAUAGCUCUCGCUGGAGUUUGAGCGGAGAUGGGAAAGAACUUCUCGCGAUCGAGGCAUGAUCUUUCGGAGCAGUGAAUGGUCGUCGAACUUAAAGCAGGUUAGUGAAAGAAUGGUAAAUCACUGCUCACUAGUGGGAGGUGAUGACAGAUGCAAGGAAAUAGUCAGGCCACCGCGAAGUCAACUUUCCCAGAAGGAAAAAAAGAUUUCUCGGCAUAGUACGUCAACGAGGUACAUGUUUUUCGUCUAUUAUCAGUGGCCUGCUGACGCUCUACGUGACUCUGCCAUGCAAACGCAAUCGCUCAAAAACAUUUUCCAGAAAGCAGCAAUCAAUACCUUGAAUGAUUUGCGUCGUCUCUCAAAUCUGCGCACCCCAGACAUCUUGCCUGGCUUUUAGUCGCCAGCCUUUGAGCUCGCUGCCCUCGAUGCUGCUGAUGGAUGGAGCGA